rnacentral:rRNA from 1 species
UACGGAGGGUGCAAGCGUUACUCGGAAUCACUGGGCGUAAAGGACGCGUAGGCGGAUUAUCAAGUCUCUUGUGAAAUCCAAUGGCUUAACCAUUGAACUGCUUGGGAAACUGAUAAUCUAGAGUGAGGGAGAGGCAGAUGGAAUUGGUGGUGUAGGGGUAAAAUCCGUAGAGAUCACCAGGAAUACCCAUUGCGAAGGCGAUCUGCUGGAACUCAACUGACGCUAAUGCGUGAAAGCGUGGGGAGCAAACAGG